CCAGGGAGUGAUGGAGCCGCAUGGAAUCCAUCGCAGAAAGUGGAGCAGAGUCGUGGCCGUUACUACGGCCCGCCAGGGAGUGAUGGAGCCACGCGAAAUCCAUCGCAGGAAGUGGAGCAGAGUCGUGACCGUUGCUGUGGCCUGCUAGAGGGUCCAGGCCUAUCGGUCGAAGUUCGGCUGGACUGUCUGGCGGAGAGAGGUGGCUAGUUACCCGUCUGAGAGGAGCUCGGAG
rnacentral:lncRNA from 1 species